rnacentral:rRNA from 1 species
GACGAACGCUGGCGGCGUGCCUAAUACAUGCAAGUCGAGCGGACAGAAGGGAGCUUGCUCCCGGAAGUUAGCGGCGGACGGGUGAGUAACACGUGGGCAACCUACCCUGUAGAUCGGGAUAACAUCGAGAAAUCGGUGCUAAUACCGGAUAAUCAUUUGAAGUGCAUGCUUCGAAUGUAAAAGAUGGCUCCGGCUAUCACUACGGGAUGGGCCCGCGGCGCAUUAGCUAGUUGGUAAGGUAAUGGCUUACCAAGGCAACGAUGCGUAGCCGACCUGAGAGGGUGAUCGGCCACACUGGGACUGAGACACGGCCCAGACUCCUACGGGAGGCAGCAGUAGGGAAUCUUCCGCAAUGGACGAAAGUCUGACGGAGCAACGCCGCGUGAGUGAUGAAGGUUUUCGGAUCGUAAGGCUCUGCUGUUAGGGAAGAACAAGUGCCGUUUGAAUAAGGCGGCACCUUGACGGUACCUAACCAGAAAGCCACGGCUAACUACGUGCCAGCCGCCGCCGUAAUAC